rnacentral:rRNA from 1 species
UAGGGAAUCUUCCGCAAUGGACGAAAGUCUGACGGAGCAACGCCGCGUGAGUGAUGAAGGUUUUCGGAUCGUAAAGCUCUGUUGUUAGGGAAGAACAAGUACCGUUCGAACAGGGCGGUACCUUGACGGUACCUAACCAGAAAGCCACGGCUAACUACGUGCCAGUAGCCGCGGUAAUACGUAGGUGGCAAGUGUUGUCCGGAAUUAUUGGGCGUAAAGGGCUCGCGGGCGGUUUCUUAAGUCUGAUGUGAAAGCCCCCGGCUCAACCGGGGAGGGUCAUUGGAAACUGGGUAACUUGAGUGCAGAAGAGGAGAGUGGAAUUCCACGUGUAGCGGUGAAAUGCGUAGAGAUGUGGAGGAACACCAGUGGCGAAGGCGACUCUCUGGUCUGUAACUGACGCUGAGGAGCGAAAGCGUGGGGAGCGAACA